ensembl:lncRNA
CGGUGCCACCGGCUCCAGCCAGGCUGGUUUGCUCUGCAGAGUGGCGUGGCGAGGGUGUCGGCUAACUCCCCCUUUCCCUACAGUUCCCAUCAACCUCGCAAAAACCCCCAGUUUAAGUAAUCCUUAUGGUUGUUAUGCGCCAACUCUGGUUGCUACGCAAACACCGCUAAACUAACCCUUCAACAAACUAGUUGCCCCGAACUCUUCUGAGGGGGAAAUUGUGGAGCAGCCCUCUGCUUAGAGAUGAUAACCACCACCAGUGGUUCCGGUUUCUCAGGCACACGGCCAAUCGCAGGACAUUGCCAGCUUUGGAGCCGAGUUUCCCGAGACUUUUGCUGACACAUGUAUGCUCAGAAAAUCACUGGUGGUCUGGGUGUGGUGGAGCAUUCGUGUCCUAGCACUCAGGAGGCUGAAGCAGGGAGGUCACAAAUUCCAGACCAUCUCGGACUACAUAGUGAGACCCUGCCUCAGAACAUCAAAACCAGAAAAGGAAAGAAGAAAUUUCUAGCUAUUCAGCCCUCAUCUUAGCUGCCGUGAGGUGAAGUCCUCUGCCACACUGGACUGUGCCUGAAGCAAUAGGACCAAGUGACCAUGGACUGAGACCUUGGAAAUACUGAGCCGAAAGACACCUUUCCUUCUUUCAGGUUGAUUCUCUCAGGCUGAAGAAUCAUCAUACUGUUUUUCUCAACAGCUGCAGCAUUUGACAUUUCUCUCAGUAAUAUCUGAGAGUUCCAGCCUUUCCACAUCCUUGCCAACACAUGUUAUUGUUCAUUUUUUAAAGAGCUAUCUAGUGGUGGCUCACUAUUGCAAUUUGUUUAAAAAAUUGCAUAGAAAAUGAAGAAAAAGAAAGACAGGAAAAGAAAAAAGAGAAGGAAAGAAAAUAGAGUUAAUGGGAUAAGCUACAUCCCAGCUGCUUCAAUUGGUCUUGAGAUUAUAAUUUAUCAUCAUGCACUAUUCUCAGUUCUCAACUUUUGGGCAG